rnacentral:lncRNA from 1 species
AUGACCUCCAUCGUAUAAAGUCCCCAGGCUCUUCAGCUCACGCUAGCCCUGAUCAAGCCUGACGCAGUUGCCCACCCACUGAUCCUGGAGGCUGUUCAUCAGCAGAUUCUGAGCGACAACUCCCUCACUGUAUGAACAAGAGAACUGCAGUGGAAGCCAGAGGACUGCCUGGGUUUUACCGAGAGCGUGAAGGGUUUUUUUUUUUCUAUCAGCGGCUGGUGGAAUUCACGACAAGAGGGCCAAUCCGAGCCUAUAUCCUUACCUACAAAGAUACCAUGCAACUUUGGAGGACACGGAUGGGACCUACCAGAGAAUUUCGAGCACGCCAUAUAGCCCCAGACUCAAUUCGUGGGAGUUUGUGCCUCACUGACACCUGAAAUGCUACCCGUGGCUCAGACUCCGUGGUUUAGAUUGCAGCCUUCUUCCCUGACUUCAGUGAACAGUGCUGGUAUGAGGAGGAGGAGGAGGAACCAUGGCUGCACUGUGGUCCUGUGCACUACAGUCCAGAGGAAGGCAUUUACUGUGCAGCUGGAACAAGAGGCCCCAGACCAGCCUAGUAAA